CUCAGACAUGAGAGUGACGGGCGAUAUGUGCAUUAAAAGUUUAUAUUUCAAAAUAAAAUUUUGUUUUAAUUUUAAUUUCAAGUUCUUCUGCCUCUUAAAAAAUUAAAAUUGUUCUCAUGUUUAAGCAAUGCAUGUCAACUUUUUUAUUAUUUUUAUCUUGAUUUGUUUUAUUAUAAUAUUAGUAUUUCUUUAAGAUUAAACUUUUGUUUUUAUUUAAACAAUGAUAUAAAAAAUUAUAAAAAAAGUAGUUAUUAAUCGGGGGGUAUCGAUUAAAUCACACAAUUCCCUAAAUAUUAUUUUAACCGCCAAAUUAAAAAGAUUUUUUUUAUUUAAAUACAGUCUAAUUUUAAAAUAAAA
rnacentral:rRNA from 1 species